rnacentral:rRNA from 1 species
UACCAGCACCCCGAGUGGUCGGGACGUUUUAUUGGGCCUAAAGCAUCCGUAGCCGGUUCUACAAGUCUUCCGUUAAAUCCACCUGCUUAACAGAUGGGCUGCGGAAGAUACUAUAGAGCUAGGAGGCGGGAGAGGCAAGCGGUACUCGAUGGGUAGGGGUAAAAUCCGUUGAUCCAUUGAAGACCACCAGUGGCGAAGGCGGCUUGCCAGAACGCGCUCGACGGUGAGGGAUGGAAAGCUGGGGGGAGCAAACCGGGAU